CUCUCAGCGCCCCACAUCCCACACACCGGGCUGCGCAAGUCAGAGCCCCUCAUUUUCGAGGGCCGAGGCAUUCGGACAGAUGCCCAGUCUCCAGGACCAGCUGCAGGGAGAAAAGAACCAAGCCUGCCCGUUGGGUUUCACGGGACUCGGUCGGCCCCAUGCACAGACCUGAAGAUAAGUUCCAGUGCCUUUCUGUUAUGGCUCUGUUUUGAAUCAUUGUACUUGUGAAAAAUCUUCAAAAACUAAAAUUCUUUGACACUCCAUUUGGGUAAUACUUUAAGUAAAAAUUACAAAAAAAAUUUUUUUAAUAAAGUGCCAUUAAUAGCA